rnacentral:rRNA from 1 species
AUUGAACGCUGGCGGCAGGCCUAACACAUGCAAGUCGAGCGGAUGAAGGGAGCUUGCUCCUGGAUUCAGCGGCGGACGGGUGAGUAAUGCCUAGGAAUCUGCCUGGUAGUGGGGGAUAACGUCCGGAAACGGGCGCUAAUACCGCAUACGUCCUGAGGGAGAAAGUGGGGGAUCUUCGGACCUCACGCUAUCAGAUGAGCCUAGGUCGGAUUAGCUAGUUGGUGGGGUAAAGGCCUACCAAGGCGACGAUCCGUAACUGGUCUGAGAGGAUGAUCAGUCACACUGGAACUGAGACACGGUCCAGACUCCUACGGGAGGCAGCAGUGGGGAAUGUUGGACACUGGGCGAAAGCCUGCUCCAGCCAUGCCGCGUGUGUGAAGAAGGUCUUCGGAUUGUAAAGCACUUUAAGUUGGGAGGAAGGGCAGUAAGUUAAUACCUUGCUGUUUUGACGUUACCAACAGAAUAAGCACCGGCUAACUUCGUG